rnacentral:tRNA from 1 species
GGUAGCGUGGCCGAGUGGUCUAAGGCGCUGGUUUUAGGCACCAGUAUUUCGAGGCGUGGGUUCGAAUCCCACCGCUGCCA